UAAUAUAUUAGGGAACGAGGGAUGCUCUAGGUUGGGGAGGUGAAGGAAGGUUGAUUUGAGAAGAUGUGAAUGUUAGGAUUUUGGUAGGUGGGGGUCGAUUUCUACGAGUGUAAGUAAUGAUGGAAGGUGGUUAAGAUGGAUAAGAAGUAGAAGGAAAAAAGGUUGAUGUAUCUGAUUACGAGAGUUCCAAGAGAGAUGUGACAAAUGUUGGCAUCAUA
rnacentral:lncRNA from 1 species